GGGGUUGUGGCUCAGUGGUAGAGCACUUGCCUAACAUGUGCAAGGCCCUGAGUUCGCUUCUCAGCACCA
rnacentral:tRNA from 1 species